rnacentral:rRNA from 1 species
GACGAACGCUGGCGGCGUGCCUAAUACAUGCAAGUUGAGCGAUGAAGCUUGGUGCUUGCACCACUUUGAAGAGCAGCGGACGGGUGAGUAACGCGUGGGUAAUCUGCCUUUGAGCGGGGGACAACAUUUGGAAACGAAUGCUAAUACCGCAUAACAUAUUUAAACAUAAGUUUUAAGAUUGAAAGAUGCAAUUGCAUCACUCAAAGAUGAUCCCGCGUUGUCUUAGCUAGUUUGUGAGGUAAAGGCUCACCAAGGCGAUGGUACAUAGCCGACCCGAGAGGGGGAUCGGCCACAUUGGGACUUGGACCCGGCCCAAACUCCUACGGGAGGCAGCAGGAGGGAAACCUCCGCAAUUGACCGAAGGCCUACCGAGCCACGCCCGGGUGAUGAAGAAGGUUUUCGGAUCCUUAAACUCUGUUUGUAGAGAAGAACGUUGGUUGGAGUUGAAUGCGCAUCUAGUGACGGUAACUACCCAGAAAGCGACGGCUAACUACGUG